AUCGCGUAAAUUCCUAUCAAAAACCCUCUCACUCGUUCGACUCCAACUCUGUGAGUUCACCGAUUCAACUCGCUGAAAAAAUGAGACGCUUCAGGAAAGUUGAGCUACUCGAACCCUACUAUCCUCCAGUCUUGGUCAGAGAAACCUCCAUUUUCCCCUCCUUCGUAGAAGACGAAGUUCACGAUCUCAGCUCUGCUCUCGAUUUUUUUAACCCUGCUCUCGAUUUCUUCAACCCCAGCCCUACCCCCUUCGAGAUCUUCGAUUCCGUCACCGAUCUGGUGCGGAUCGAC
rnacentral:lncRNA from 1 species